GCGGCGUGCUUAACACAUGCAAGUCGAACGGAAAGGCCCUGCUUUUGUGGGGUGCUCGAGUGGCGAACGGGUGAGUAACACGUGAGUAACCUGCCCUUGACUUUGGGAUAACUUCAGGAAACUGGGGCUAAUACCGGAUAGGAGCUCCUGCUGCAUGGUGGGGGUUGGAAAGUUUCGGCGGUUGGGGAUGGACUCGCGGCUUAUCAGCUUGUUGGUGGGGUAGUGGCUUACCAAGGCUUUGACGGGUAGCCGGCCUGAGAGGGUGACCGGCCACAUUGGGACUGAGAUACGGCCCAGACUCCUACGGGAGGCAGCAGUGGGGAAUAUUGCACAAUGGGCGGAAGCCUGAUGCAGCAACGCCGCGUGCGGGAUGACGGCCUUCGGGUUGUAAACCGCUUUCGCCUGUGACGAAGCGUGAGUGACGGUAAUGGGUAAAGAAGCACCGGCUAACUACGUGCCAGCAGCCGCGGUGAUACGUAGGGUGCGAGCGUUGUCCGGAUUUAUUGGGCGUAAAGGGCUCGUAGGUGGUUGAUCGCGUCGGAAGUGUAAUCUUGGGGCUUAACCCUGAGCGUGCUUUCGAUACGGGUUGACUUGAGGAAGGUAGGGGAGAAUGGAAUUCCUGGUGGAGCGGUGGAAUGCGCAGAUAUCAGGAGGAACACCAGUGGCGAAGGCGGUUCUCUGGGCCUUUCCUGACGCUGAGGAGCGAAAGCGUGGGGAGCGAACAGGCUUAGAUACCCUGGUAGUCCACGCUGUAAACGGUGGGUGCUAGGUGUGGGGUCCAUUCCACGGGUUCCGUGCCGUAGCUAACGCUUUAAGUACCCCGCCUGGGGAGUACGGCCGCAAGGCUAAAACUCAAAGGAAUUGACGGGGCCCCGCACAAGCGGCGGAGCAUGCGGAUUAAUUCGAUGCAACGCGUAGAACCUUACCUGGGUUUGACAUGGAUCGGGAGUGCUCAGAGAUGGGUGUGCCUCUUUUGGGGUCGGUUCACAGGUGGUGCAUGGCUGUCGUCAGCUCGUGUCGUGAGAUGUUGGGUUAAGUCCCGCAACGAGCGCAACCCUUGUUCACUGUUGCCAGCACGUUAUGGUGGGGACUCAGUGGAGACCGCCGGGGUCAACUCGGAGGAAGGUGGGGAUGACGUCAAGUCAUCAUGCCCCUUAUGUCCAGGGCUUCACGCAUGCUACAAUGGCUGGUACAGAGAGUGGCGAGCCUGUGAGGGUGAGCGAAUCUCGGAAAGCCGGUCUCAGUUCGGAUUGGGGUCUGCAACUCGACCUCAUGAAGUCGGAGUCGCUAGUAAUCGCAGAUCAGCAACGCUGCGGUGAAUACGUACCCGGGGCUUGUACACACCGCCCGUCAAGUCAUGAAAGUUGGUAACACCCGAAGCCGGUGGCCUAACCGUUGUGGGGGAGCCGUCGAAGGUGGGACUGGUGAUUAGGACU
rnacentral:rRNA from 1 species